CGUGUAGGCGGUCAUGCAAGUCGGAUGUGAAAUCCCACGGCUCAACCAUGGAAGAGCAUCGGAAACUGCAUGACUAGAGUCCUGGAGAGGAAGGUGGAAUACUCGGUGUAGAGGUGAAAUGCGUAGAUAUCGGGAGGAACACCUGUGGCGAAAGCGGCUCACUGGACCACAACUGACGCUGAUGCGCGAAAGCUAGGGGAGCAAACA
rnacentral:rRNA from 1 species